CCUACGGGCGGCUGCAGUGAGGAAUAUUGGUCAAUGGGCGUAAGCCUGAACCAGCCAAGUCGCGUGAGGGAUGAAGGUUCUAUGGAUCGUAAACCUCUUUUAUAAGGGAAUAAAGUGUGGGACGUGUCCUAUGUUGUAUGUACCUUAUGAAUAAGGAUCGGCUAACUCCGUGCCAGCAGCCGCGGUAAUACGGAGGAUCCGAGCGUUAUCCGGAUUUAUUGGGUUUAAAGGGUGCGUAGGCGGCCUUUUAAGUCAGCGGUGAAAGUCUGUGGCUCAACCAUAGAAUUGCAGUUGAAACUGGGGGGCUUGAGUAUGUUGAGGGCAGGCGGAAUGCGUGGUGUAGCGGUGAAAUGCUUAGAUAUCACGCAGAACCCCGAUUGCGAAGGCAGGCUGCCAAGCCGUGACUGACGCUGAUGCACGAAAGCGUGGGGAUCAAACAGGAUUAGAUACCCUGGUAGUC
rnacentral:rRNA from 1 species